UACGUAGGGGACAGCGUUGUCCGGAAUCAUUGGGCGUAAAGAGCUCGUAGGCGGCUUGUCGCGUCGGCUGUGAAAUCCCGUGGCUCAACUGCGGCUUGCAGCCGAUACGGGCAGGCUAGAGUUCGGUAGGGGAGACUGGAAUUCCUGGUGUAGCGGUGGAAUGCGCAGAUAUCAGGAGGAACACCGAUGGCGAAGGCAGGUCUCUGGGCCACUACUGACGCUGAGAAGCGAAAGCAUGGGGAGCGAACAGG
rnacentral:rRNA from 1 species